GAAAAAAUACUGUGGAAGGAAUGCCAAUGCCUACCUAACUGCAGCUUUCAAGGUCAGCUUUCCCUUCUACUCUCCCCAGCCCACUUCCCUCUCUUAAGUGCCCCCUCUCUACUCAUCCCCAGCCCUCCUCAGACCCCACUGCAGCAGCCCUCCCAGGCACCUGGAAUGUCAGCUCAUUGAAGUCCUACUUUAAGCUAUAACAACCUUGCAUUCCCCCAGGGCCAGGAAUAUGCUUGGGACACACAAAGUGUCAGUCGUACUAAUGAG
rnacentral:lncRNA from 10 species